rnacentral:rRNA from 1 species
GGCUUGUUGAUUAUGAUUUCAGGUCUGACCUGCCCGAUGAUUGAAGGUUGAAUGGCUGCGGUAUUUUAACCGUACAAAGGUAGCAUAAUCAUUAGUUUUUUAAUUGAAAGCUUGUAUGAAGGGUUUGAUGAAAAGAUUUCUGUCUCUACUUAAGUUUAUUAGAAUUUUAUUUUUAAGUGAAAAAGCUUAGAUAUAUAUGAAAGACGAGAAGACCCUAUAGAGUUUUAUAGAUUAGGAGAUAGGAAGGAUGUGGAGUGUUAAGUUUUCUUGUUUUUGUGAUCUAUUUAGUUGGGGUGAUUGAAAAACUUGUUUAACUUUUUUUUUAUUAGAACAUUGAUUUGUGGAUGGCUGAUCUUUAGGUUGAGAUAAAAAGAUGAAAUUACCUUAGGGAUAACAGCGUAAUUUUUUUUAGAGUUCUUAUCGAAUAGAAAGAUUGCGACCUCGAUGUUGGAUUAAAAUAAAUUUUUGGUGUAGAAGCUAGGAAUAUUAGGUCUGUUCGACCUUUAAAAUUUUACAUGAUCUGAGUUUAAACCGGUGUGAG